GGUUAAGCGACUAAGCGUACACGGUGGAUGCCCUGGCAGUCAGAGGCGAUGAAGGACGUGCUAAUCUGCGAAAAGCGCCGGCGAGGUGAUAUGAACCCUUGACCCGGCGAUGUCCGAAUGGGGAAACCCAGUGUGAUUCGUCACACUAUCGUUAACUGAAUACAUAGGUUAACGAGGCGAACCGGGGGAACUGAAACAUCUAAGUACCCCGAGGAAAAGAAAUCAACCGAGAUUCCCCCAGUAGCGGCGAGCGAACGGGGAGCAGCCCAGAGUCUGAAUCAGCUUGUGUGUUAGUGGAAGCGUCUGGAAAGUCGCACGGUACAGGGUGAAAGUCCCGUACACGAAAAUGCACAGGCUGUGAACUCGAAGAGUAGGGCGGGACACGUGGUAUCCUGUCUGAAUAUGGGGGGACCAUCCUCCAAGGCUAAAUACUCCUGACUGACCGAUAGUGAACCAGUACCGUGAGGGAAAGGCGAAAAGAACCCCGGCGAGGGGAGUGAAAAAGAACCUGAAACCGUGUACGUACAAGCAGUGGGAGCACCUUCGGGUGUGACUGCGUACCUUUUGUAUAAUGGGUCAGCGACUUAUAUUCUGUAGCAAGGUUAACCGUAUAGGGGAGCCGAAGGGAAACCGAGUCUUAACUGGGCGUUAAGUUGCAGGGUAUAGACCCGAAACCCGGUGAUCUAGCCAUGGGCAGGUUGAAGGUUGGGUAACACUAACUGGAGGACCGAACCGACUAAUGUUGAAAAAUUAGCGGAUGACCUGUGGCUGGGGGUGAAAGGCCAAUCAAACCGGGAGAUAGCUGGUUCUCCCCGAAAGCUAUUUAGGUAGCGCCUCGUGAACUCAUCUUCGGGGGUAGAGCACUGUUUCGGCUAGGGGGCCAUCCCGGCUUACCAACCCGAUGCAAACUACGAAUACCGAAGAAUGUUAUCACGGGAGACACACGGCGGGUGCUAACGUCCGUCGUGAAGAGGGAAACAACCCAGACCGCCAGCUAAGGUCCCAAAGUCAUGGUUAAGUGGGAAACGAUGUGGGAAGGCCCAGACAGCCAGGAUGUUGGCUUAGAAGCAGCCAUCAUUUAAAGAAAGCGUAAUAGCUCACUGGUCGAGUCGGCCUGCGCGGAAGAUGUAACGGGGCUAAACCAUGCACCGAAGCUGCGGCAGCGACACUAUGUGUUGUUGGGUAGGGGAGCGUUCUGUAAGCCGUUGAAGGUGGCCUGUGAGGGUUGCUGGAGGUAUCAGAAGUGCGAAUGCUGACAUAAGUAACGAUAAAGCGGGUGAAAAGCCCGCUCGCCGGAAGACCAAGGGUUCCUGUCCAACGUUAAUCGGGGCAGGGUGAGUCGACCCCUAAGGCGAGGCCGAAAGGCGUAGUCGAUGGGAAACAGGUUAAUAUUCCUGUACUUGGUGUUACUGCGAAGGGGGGACGGAGAAGGCUAUGUUAGCCGGGCGACGGUUGUCCCGGUUUAAGCAUGUAGGCGGAGGUUCCAGGUAAAUCCGGUACCUUUUAACGCUGAGGUGUGAUGACGAGGCACUACGGUGCUGAAGUAACAAAUGCCCUGCUUCCAGGAAAAGCCUCUAAGCAUCAGGUAACAUCAAAUCGUACCCCAAACCGACACAGGUGGUCAGGUAGAGAAUACCAAGGCGCUUGAGAGAACUCGGGUGAAGGAACUAGGCAAAAUGGUGCCGUAACUUCGGGAGAAGGCACGCUGAUAUGUAGGUGAAGCCCCUGCGGGUGGAGCUGAAAUCAGUCGAAGAUACCAGCUGGCUGCAACUGUUUAUUAAAAACACAGCACUGUGCAAACACGAAAGUGGACGUAUACGGUGUGACGCCUGCCCGGUGCCGGAAGGUUAAUUGAUGGGGUUAGCGGUAACGCGAAGCUCUUGAUCGAAGCCCCGGUAAACGGCGGCCGUAACUAUAACGGUCCUAAGGUAGCGAAAUUCCUUGUCGGGUAAGUUCCGACCUGCACGAAUGGCGUAAUGAUGGCCAGGCUGUCUCCACCCGAGACUCAGUGAAAUUGAACUCGCUGUGAAGAUGCAGUGUACCCGCGGCAAGACGGAAAGACCCCGUGAACCUUUACUAUAGCUUGACACUGAACACUGGUCCUUGAUGUGUAGGAUAGGUGGGAGGCUUUGAAGCGUGGACGCCAGUCUGCGUGGAGCC
rnacentral:rRNA from 1 species